rnacentral:rRNA from 1 species
GGAGCCCUACGGGGCGCAGCAGUGGGGAAAAUUGGCCAAUGGGCUUACGCCUGAACCAGCCAAGUCGCGUGAGGGAAGACUGCCCUAUGGGUUGUAAACCUCUUUUGUCAGGGAGCAACGCCGGCUACGUGUAGCCGGACUGAGAGUACCUGAAGAAAAAGCAUCGGCUAACUCCGUGCCAGCAGCCGCGGUAAUACGGAGGAUGCGAGCGUUAUCCGGAUUUAUUGGGUUUAAAGGGUGCGUAGGCGGAAUGCCAAGUCAGCGGUAAAAUCGCGGGGCUCAACCUCGCUCCGCCGUUGGAACUG